GAUGAAGAACGUAGUGAAAUGCGAUAAGUAAUGUGAAUUGCAGAAUUCAGUGAAUCAUCGAAUCUUUGAACGCACAUUGCGCUCGCCAGUAUUCUGGCGAGCAUGCCUGUUCGAGCGUCAUUUCAACCAUCAAGCUCUGCUUGCGUUGGGGAUCCGCGGCUGCCCGCGGUCCCUCAAAAACAGUGGCGGGCUCGCUAGUCACACCGAGCGUAGUAACUCUACAUCGUUCUGGUCGUGCGGCGGGUUCUUGCCGUAAAACCCCCCAAUUUCUAAGGUUGACCUCGGAUCAGGUAGGAAUACCCGCUGAACUUAAGCAUAUCAAUAAGCGGAGGA
rnacentral:misc_RNA from 1 species